AUCAACUUUCGAUGGUAGGAUAGAGGCCUACCAUGGUGGUAACGGGUAACGGGGUGUUAGGGCACGACACCGGAGAGGGAGCCUGAGAAACGGCUACCACAUCCAAGGAUGGCAGCAGGCGCGCAAAUUACCCAAUCCCGACACGGGGAGGUAGUGACAAUAAAUAACAAUACGGGGCUCUUUCGGGUCUCGUAAUUGGAAUGAGUACAAUUUAAAUCCCUUAACGAGGAGCAAUUGGAGGGCAAGUCUGGUGCCAGCAGCCGCGGUAAUUCCAGCUCCAAUAGCGUAUAUUAAAGUUGUUGCAGUUAAAAAGCUCGUAGUUGAAUUUCGGGAUUGGCGCAUCGGUCGUGCCUCACGGGGUAUGAACUGGUGCAGUCAAUUUCUCACCUUCUGGAGAACCGCGAUGUCCUUAAUUGGAUGCCGCGGGGAACCAGGACCUUUACUUUGAAAAAAUUAGAGUGUUUAAAGCAGGCAUUUUUGCUUGAAUACAUUAGCAUGGAAUAAUAAAAUAGGACGGCAUGGUUCUAUUUUGUUGGUUUCUAGGACCACCGUAAUGAUUAAUAGGGAUAGUUGGGGGCAUUAGUAUUCAAUUGUCAGAGGUGAAAUUCUUGGAUUUAUUGAAGACUAACUACUGCGAAAGUAUUUGCCAAGGAUGUUUUCAUUAAUCAAGAACGAAAGUUAGGGGAUCGAAGACGAUCAGAUACCGUCGUAGUCUUAACCAUAAACUAUGCCGACUAGGAAUCAGACGAUGUUAAUUUUUUAAUGACUCGUUUGGCACCUUACGGGAAACCAAAGUGUUUGGGUUA
rnacentral:rRNA from 1 species